rnacentral:rRNA from 1 species
UACGUAGGAUGCAAGCGUUGUUCGGAAUUAUUGGGCGUAAAGGGCGCGUAGGCGGCUUCGCAAGUGGUGGGUGAAAUCCCUCGGCUUAACCGAGGAACUGCCCUCCAAACUGCGUUGCUUGAGUCCGGGAGAGGUGAGUGGAAUUCCCAGUGUAGCGGUGAAAUGCGUAGAUAUUGGGAGGAACACCAGUGGCGAAGGCGGCUCACUGGACCGGAACUGACGCUGAGGCGCGAAAGCGUGGGGAGCAAACGGG